GUCAGUUUAGCUUAGUGGCAGAGCGUCUGCUUUGUAAGCAGAAGGUCGUCAGUUCAAUCCUGGCAAGUGGCU
rnacentral:tRNA from 1 species